rnacentral:rRNA from 1 species
AUUGAACGCUGGCGGAAUGCUUUACACAUGCAAGUCGAACGGCAGCACGGACUUCGGUCUGGUGGCGAGUGGCGAACGGGUGAGUAAUGUAUCGGAACGUGCCCAGUCGUGGGGGAUAACGUAGUGAAAAUUACGCUAAUACCGCAUACGAUCUAUGGAUGAGAGCGGGGGAUCGCAAGACCUCGCGCGAUUGGAGCGGCCGAUAUAGAUUAGGUAGUUGGUGGGGUAAAGGCCCACCAAGCCAACGAUCUGUAGCUGGUCUGAGAGGACGACCAGCCACACUGGAACUGAGACACGGUCCAGACUCCUACGGGAGGCAGCAGUGGGGAAUUUUGGACAAUGGGCGAAAGCCUGAUCCAGCCAUUCCGCGUGCAGGAUGAAGGCCCUCGGGUUGUAAACUGCUUUUGUACAGAACGAAAAGGUUUCUACUAAUACUAGGAGCUCAUGACGGUACUGUAAGAAUAAGCACCGGCUAACUACGUGCCAGCCGCCGCGGUAA